AGGAGCUGAGUGAUCUAAUCAAACAAAUUCCUUCAGAGAACAUCUGUGAAGGCACAGUGGUAAAUUAACUAUAACUGCAUAACUAGAAAGCCUCUUUAACUUAUUUUUUGGUAGUGCUGACUCUACCCAAAUUUCACCAAUAAAAUUAAGUGUAAUGCUAAUAAAAUUAGUAAAUUACAAAGAAAUUAUAGUUUUUGGUGUGUUUACAUAUGAACUAUAUAGUACUAAGGAAGUUUAAUCAAUAAGUUUUAACUUUUUAAAUUUGUAUACAACUUUUUAAUUAUUUCAUAUUAUUCAUUAUGGAAUUUCUUGACUUUCUUUCCUCUAAAGGUAGCUCAAGUGGAGUACAGAAGGCUGUAACAAGAACAAAAAGGCCAGGAUUGAUGACAAAGUACUCAACAUCAAAGAAAAUAAAACCAAACAAUCCC
rnacentral:lncRNA from 1 species